rnacentral:rRNA from 1 species
UACGGGGGGGGCAAGCGUUGUUCGGAAUUACUGGGCGUAAAGGGCUCGUAGGCGGUCUGUUGCGUCGGGAGUGAAAACUCAGGGCUUAACCCUGAGCCUGCUUCCGAUACGGGCAGACUAGAGGUAUGCAGGGGAGAACGGAAUUCCUGGUGUAGCGGUGAAAUGCGCAGAUAUCAGGAGGAACACCGGUGGCGAAGGCGGGUCUCUGGGCCGAUACUGACGCUGAGGAGCGAAAGCGUGGGGAGCGAACAGG